UAGGGAAUCUUCGGCAAUGGACGGAAGUCUGACCGAGCAACGCCGCGUGAGUGAAGAAGGUUUUCGGAUCGUAAAGCUCUGUUGUUAGAGAAGAACGUUGGUAGGAGUGGAAAAUCUACCAAGUGACGGUAACUAACCAGAAAGGGACGGCUAACUACGUGCCAGCAGCCGCGGUAAUACGUAGGUCCCGAGCGUUGUCUGGAUUUAUUGGGCGUAAAGCGAGCGCAGGCGGUUCUUUAAGUCUGAAGUUAAAGGCAGUGGCUUAACCAUUGUACGCUUUGGAAGCUGGGGGGCUUGAGUGCAGAAGGGGGGAGUGGAAUUCCAUGUGUAGCGGUGAGAUGCGUAGAUAUAUGGAGGAACACCGGUGGCGAAAGCGGCUCUCUGGUCUGAAACGGACGCUGAGGCUCGAAAGCGUGGGGAGCAAACAGG
rnacentral:rRNA from 1 species